rnacentral:lncRNA from 1 species
CUCCUAUCAAAAUUUAUUGAAAUGGUAGAUUUUUGGUAAGUACAGAAACACAAGCGAAGGAACCAGGAGGAACGUGCACCCCUCUAACUGUGGGGCAGAGGCACAUUUCCCUUUUAAUGUUAAAAGCAAACAGAGGUGGGAAACAGCUUUCUAUCCUGAAGCCGUUUUAACUGCCCAACCCUUAGAUUACUAUAAACAAGAGAGGAAUGGAUUGCAUUAGUCGCUGGUUGAAAGCAGCAAUGCCAUUUCCUUUCCCAUAAUAACACUGUUUAGCUCAGUCCCUUCUGGGGCUAAUCCCCUAUUACACCCACCGGAAACACAGAUAUUAACCAAAGCGUGUGAGUCUCUUCCCUGAGUCCAUUUCUGCUAAAGCUUGUCUGAAAGAUGAAUUGGUCCACGGAAGCCAGGUGACCUACUGGCUUGUUUAAUGAUGCCUGGGCUCCCUCCAGGAGCAACACAAUUCCCUCCAAUCUCAGCUCUCCUUAUCCCUGCUAGAGCUCACAAGCAGGCUAGAUAUCACCCCAGGAGCUGAGCCCCCUCCAGUCUGAGGCAGAUGUGGGAAGAAGGCCAACAACUCACAAGCAGGCUAGAUAUCACCCCAGGAGCUGAGCCCCCUCCAGUCUGAGGCAGAUGUGGGAAGAAGGCCAACAAGUCACAAGUAGAUCUCUGGCUCCAACUCUGCUCAGCAGAAACGCCUACAAUUUGCCCAUCUUCAGUCCUGCGAGCGUCAGAGAUGAAGCAAGUUUCAGAUGCCUAGAAGCUUUACUCUCUGUUCCUCCAGGAUUCCUGCGGUCACACCUUGCAACCAGUCUCCCACUCAUCUGCCACAGUUUCCCUAAAUCAGAUUCUCUGAAUCUGGAAGUUCCAGGAAAUCUUAGGCCGAGUCCAGUGACAUUACUCGAUGCAACAGCCCAACUGUUUCUCCAGAGAUGCUGGUUCUUGGUGACAAUGUCCCUUCUUG